UACGUAGGUGGCAAGCGUUGUCCGGAUUUACUGGGCGUAAAGGAUGCGUAGGCGGACAUUUAAGUCAGAUGUGAAUUACCCGAGCUUAACUUGGGUGCUGCAUUUGAAACUGGGUGUCUAGAGUGCAGGAGAGGUAAGUGGAAUUCCUAGUGUAGCGGUGAAAUGCGUAGAGAUUAGGAAGAACACCAGUGGCGAAGGCGACUUACUGGACUGUAACUGACGCUGAGGCAUGAAAGCGUGGGGAGCAAACAGG
rnacentral:rRNA from 1 species